rnacentral:misc_RNA from 1 species
AAGUCGUAACAAGGUCUCCGUAGGUGAACCUGCGGAGGGAUCAUUAACACGUACGGAUAACAAAGUAGAGUGGUAUAUAUGUACUAUAUAUAUGUACUGCCCUACUUUAUUAUUUAUACCAACUCGUGAACGAAACUAUAUGUCCUUCUCCUUAGCGCUGUUACUAACGUAACAUUGCUAAGCUAUGUUUUGUUGUAUUUUUGUCAUACAAACCAACAUCUAAAUUGUAACUAACUAGCAUAAAAGUACACAUAUGUAACACUGUUACUGUGUGUUCUUUUUAUGUCGCAGUUAACGUUUUAACAUUUUAAGCACAACUCUUAGCAACGGAUAUCUCGGUUCUC